rnacentral:rRNA from 1 species
UGGGGAAUUUUCCGCAAUGGGCGAAAGCCUGACGGAGCAAUGCCGCGUGGAGGUGGAAGGCCUACGGGUCGUCAACUUCUUUUCUCGGAGAAGAAACAAUGACAGUAUCUGAGGAAUAAGCAUCGGCUAACUCUGUUCCAG